rfam:Aedes albopictus isolate Foshan contig60754, whole genome shotgun sequence.
AAAACGGCCCUUUUCAGGGCCACUAUACAACUUUCCCAAAAGAGUUG